rnacentral:rRNA from 1 species
GACGAACGCUGGCGGCGUGCUUAACACAUGCAAGUCGAACGGAAAGGCCCUGCUUUUGUGGGGUGCUCGAGUGGCGAACGGGUGAGUAACACGUGAGUAACCUGCCCUUGACUUUGGGAUAACUUCAGGAAACUGGGGCUAAUACCGGAUAGGAGCUCCUGCUGCAUGGUGGGGGUUGGAAAGUUUCGGCGGUUGGGGAUGGACUCGCGGCUUAUCAGCUUGUUGGUGGGGUAGUGGCUUACCAAGGCUUUGACGGGUAGCCGGCCUGAGAGGGUGACCGGCCACAUUGGGACUGAGAUACAGCCCAGACUCCUACGGGAGGCAGCGGUGGGGAAUAUUGCACAAUGGGCGGAAGCCUGAUGCAGCAACGCCGCGUGCGGGAUGACGGCCUUCGGGUUGUAAACCGCUUUCGCCUGUGACGAAGCGUGAGUGACGGUAAUGGGUAAAGAAGCACCGGCUAACUACGUG